rnacentral:miRNA from 1 species
CAGUAGGUCUGGGUGGGGCCUGAGAAUCUGCAUUUCUAACAAAGCUCCCAGGUGAUGCUGGACACUGCUGAUCCAG